ACGUCUCCUGGCUCAACCUCUCCGGCGCGCGCCCGUCGGCGCUCUCGCGGCUCCGCGGCCUGCAGCUCCUCUCCGUCGCGGCCAACGCCUUCUGCGGGCCCAUCCCGCCGUCGCUCGCGCUCCUGCAGCAGCUCCUCCACCUCAACCUCUCCAACAACGCCUUCAACAGCUCCUUCCCGCCGGCGCUCGAGGGCCUCCGGGGCCUCCGCGCCCCCGAUGCCGAGAGGCCGCACAGAGAGUGACAGAGGCCUGGCACGCCUCCGGCUCGGAGGAUCACCAUGCGGGAGCACAUGUCCUCGUCUCCCAUGAAUUCGCACGACAUGCUGUUCAUUGAUGCCGAUCGUGCACCUUCCGGCCGAAACCGACAUAGGAAUGGGCGUCGGCACUCGCACGGACGGAUUGAGGAAGAGGUAUGAUUUUCUUUUUAUUUUUCCCGAUUCUUAAGUUGAAUAGAACUAUACUCUUUAAACAAAGAGAGAAAAUGAAACAGAAAAUAGAUAGCAUGCCUCAUUUAGUGCCACUCUCUGAAUAUACACAGAAAAAAGAACAUGUAUACACAUUUCAUUCAUUGUUCAAAAUUUCAUGAAGAAACUAGAUAACAAGAACAUUUUCCUACAAGGACUGGAACCUUUUGUUCAGGCACCACCAAAUAUUCUAGUCCCUUGCAGGCACAAACACAGAUA